UACGUAGGGUGCGAGCGUUAAUCGGAAUUACUGGGCGUAAAGUGUGCGCAGGUGGCCGCGCAAGUCGAGUGUGAAAUCCCCGAGCUUAACUUGGGAAUUGCGCUCGAAACUACGUGGCUCGAGUGUGGCAGAGGAAGGUGGAAUUCCAGGUGUAGCGGUGAAAUGCGUAGAUAUCUGGAGGAACACCGGUGGCGAAGGCGGCAUCCUGGACCAACACUGACACUGAGGAGCGAAAGCCAGGGGAGCAAACGGG
rnacentral:rRNA from 1 species